rnacentral:rRNA from 1 species
UACGGGGGAUGCAAGCGUUAUCCGGAUUUACUGGGUGUAAAGGGGGCGCAGACGGCAGCGCAAGCCAGGAGUGAAAGCCCGGGGCCCAACCCCGGGACUGCUCUUGGAACUGCGCGGCUGGAGUGCAGGAGGGGCAGGCGGAAUUCCUGGUGUAGCGGUGAAAUGCGUAGAUAUCAGGAGGAACACCGGUGGCGAAGGCGGCCUGCUGGACUGCGACUGACGUUGAGGCCCGAAAGCGUGGGGAGCAAACAGG